GAUAGGAGUUGCCAGAUUGGGAAGAAAUGAGAUGGAAUUCAAUGGAGAGAAAGGAAAGGGGGCACUGGGAAAAAAAUAAAAAAAUAAAAAAUAAAUAUAUAAAUAUAUAUAUACAUGUAACAGUAAUUAGCAUGUGCUGAAUGCAUUGUUAAUCAAACAUUCCUUCAUUGCCUUCCUUUAUCUCUGUCUGAUGUCAUAUAUACAUGUAACAGUAAUUAGCGUGUGCUGAAUGCAUUGUUAAUGAAACAUUCCUUCAUUGCCUUCCUUUAUCUCUGUCUGAUGUCAUAUAUACAUGUAACAGUAAUUAGCGUGUGCUGAAUGCAUUGUUAAUGAAACAUUCCUUUAUCUCUGUCUGAUGUCAUAUAUACAUGUAACAGUAAUUAGCGUGUGCUGAAUGCAUUGUUAAUCAAACAUUCCUUCAUUGCCUUCCUUUAUCUCUGUCUGAUGUCAUAUAUACAUGUAACAGUAAUUAGCGUGUGCUGAAUGCAUUGUUAAUCAAACAUUCCUUCAUUGCCUUCCUUUAUCUUGGUUUUUCUAAAAUGAAGAACUGAUUAUGUGUAGUAAUUUGUAUCACAUUUACACAAUGUCUAUUUUGUAUGACUGAGUGUUCAAUUAUGUAUAUUGUUUACUGCAGGUAUAAUGAUGAUGAGUGAGCAGUACAAAGUUAUGAAAGUUGUUGCGUUUUAUGAAAUAUGAUUCACAAGCUGUUUUUAGUCCACUACCGGUCCAACUGGAGGGCACUGUAGAUUUCAUCUCCGUCCAUCCGUCCGUCUGUCUGACCCACAUGUAGCUUUCCAGAGUUUGUUUCACAAUGAAUCAGGAUUUUGAGCUGAAAUAUUGUGUAUAGCUUUAGUUGCGUUACAUAAGUUUUCACCAUGCUCAUAUACCACAGAGGUUUCGAGCAUGUCCGCCCCGGACUCAUAUACCACAGAGGUUUAGAGCAUGUCCGCCCCAGACUCAUAUACCACAG